GUCACUGUGGCGGAAAGGUAACGCCUAUCUCUGAUUGAGGUACGACUUGCAAGGUUCGAAUCCUUGCCAGUGACU
rnacentral:tRNA from 1 species